rnacentral:rRNA from 1 species
GACGAACGCUGGCGGCGUGCUUAACACAUGCAAGUCGAACGGAAAGGCCCUGCUUUUGUGGGGUGCUCGAGUGGCGAACGGGUGAGUAACACGUGAGUAACCUGCCCUUGACUUUGGGAUAACUUCAGGAAACUGGGGCUAAUACCGGAUAGGAGCUCCUGCUGCAUGGUGGGGGUUGGAAAGUUUCGGCGGUUGGGGAUGGACUCGCGGCUUAUCAGCUUGUUGGUGGGGUAGUGGCUUACCAAGGCUUUGACGGGUAGCCGGCCUGAGAGGGUGACCGGCCACAUUGGGACUGAGAUACGGCCCAGACUCAUACGGGAGGCAGCGGUGGGGAAUAUUGCACAAUGGGCGGAAGCCUAAUGCAGCAACGCCGCGUGCGGGAUGACGGCCUUCGGGUUGUAAACCGCUUUCGCCUGUGACGAAGCGUGAGUGACGGUAAUGGGGAAAGAAGCACCGGCUAACUACGG